rnacentral:lncRNA from 1 species
UCCCAAAGGUGGAGACCAUGAUAGUUGCACCUCUUGAGAUGGUGUCACCUAUAUUUAUUGCUCUUCCAGUGGGUUGGAGUCAAGUACUAGUUUUGGGAGCUGGCAGCAUCUUCACUCAGUGUACAUUUUUAUAGGUCUAAGAUCUUCUCUUGUAGGAACUAGGGAAGAUUCUUUAACCUUGCUCAAGGUGUGUCCUGCUUAUACAGACAAGGUAG